rnacentral:rRNA from 1 species
UACGUAGGGUGCGAGCGUUAAUCGGAAUUACUGGGCGUAAAGCGUGCGCAGGCGGGCUUUUAAGCCAGACGUGAAAUCCCCGGGCUUAACCUGGGAAUUGCGCUUGAAACUAGCGGGCUUGAGUGCGGCAGAGGGGGGUGGAAUUCCACGUGUAGCAGUGAAAUGCGUAGAGAUGUGGAGGAACACCGAUGGCGAAGGCAGCCCCCUGGGUCGACACUGACGCUCAUGCACGAAAGCGUGGGGAGCAAACAGG